AGAGUUUGAUCCUGGCUCAGGACGAACGCUGGCGGCGUGCUUAACACAUGCAAGUCGAACGAUGAAGCUGGAGCUUGCUCCGGUGGAUUAGUGGCGAACGGGUGAGUAACACGUGAGCAAUCUGCCCUUGACUCUGGGAUAACUGCGGGAAACUGUAGCUAAUACCGGAUACUUUCCUCGGUGGGCAUCCACUGGGGAAGAAAGAAUUUCGGUCAAGGAUGAGCUCGCGGCCUAUCAGCUAGUUGGUGAGGUAAUGGCUCACCAAGGCGACGACGGGUAGCCGGCCUGAGAGGGUGACCGGCCACACUGGGACUGAGACACGGCCCAGACUCCUACGGGAGGCAGCAGUGGGGAAUAUUGCACAAUGGACGCAAGUCAGAGGCAGCAACGCCGCGUGAGGGACGAAGGCCUUCGGGUUGUAAACCUCUUUUAGCAGGGAAGAAGCGAAAGUGACGGUACCUGCAGAAAAAGCACCGGCUAACUACGUGCCAGCAGCCGCGGUAAUACGUAGGGUGCAAGCGUUGUCCGGAAUUAUUGGGCGUAAAGAGCUCGUAGGCGGUUUGUCACGUCUGCUGUGAAAUUUCGAGGCUCAACCUCGAACUUGCAGUGGGUACGGGCAGGCUAGAGUGCAGUAGGGGAGAUGGGAAUUCCUGGUGUAGCGGUGGAAUGCGCAGAUAUCAGGAGGAACACCAAUGGCGAAGGCACAUCUCUGGGCUGUAACUGACGCUGAGGAGCGAAAGCGUGGGGAGCGAACAGGAUUAGAUACCCUGGUAGUCCACGCCGUAAACGGUGGGUGCUAGCUGUGGGCCACAUUCCACGUGGUCCGUGACGAAGUUAACACAUUAAGCACCCCGCCUGGGGGAGUAC
rnacentral:rRNA from 1 species